rnacentral:lncRNA from 1 species
UGAGAACUGAACUAUGUCAGGUAUGUCAGAUCUCCAAAAUGAUAUAUAUAUAUAUAUAUACUUAGUUACCUAUGUUAUCUCUAAUAUGCUUAGUUUCCUAUAGGUUAGCUCCAAAAUUACUUAUGUUAGCACAAAAUGAUCAAGUUUACAUAAUAAACUUAUAGUCUUCUUCUUAUUCUUCUUCUUUUCCAAAAUGACAUAUGUUAGCUUCAUUUUACCUAAGUUGGCUCUAAUAUGCUAACUUAGAGCUUAUAUGCUUAGUUUCCUAUAGGUUAGCUCCAAAAUAACUUAUGUUAGCACAAAAUGAUCAAGUUUACAUUAUAAGCUUAUAGUCUUCUCUUAUUCUUCUUAUUCUUCUUAUUUUCCAAAAUGACAUAUGUUAGCUUCAUUUUACCUAAGUUGGCUCUAAUAUGCUAACUUAGAGCUUAUAUGCUUAGUUUCCUAUAGGUUAGCUCCAAAAUAACUUAUGUUAGCACAAAAUGAUCAAGUUUACAUAAUAAGCUUAUAGUCUUCUCUUAUUCUUCUUAUUCUUCUUAUUUUCCAAAAUGACAUAGGUUAGCUUCAUUUUACCUAAGUUGGCUUUAAUGUGCUAACUUAGAGCUUAUAUGCUUAGUUUCCUAUAGGUUAGCUUCUUCUUCUUCUAACUUCUUGUUUAUCAUUUUGCAGAUUUGAUUUAAUUCAUGGAAGCUUGCAUGGAUGGAGUGCUUCUUUUCCAUUUGUGUUUUUAUUUUGUAUCAGUGUGAAACUUUUGUGAAUUGAUGGAUAACGGUGUUGGAUGAACAAUGUGAAACUUUUGUAAUAUGUAACGAUGGAACUAUGUGUUGGCUAUGUAUGUAUAUAUGAUGAAACUUGUGUGUUGG